rfam:Helianthus annuus linkage group 15, whole genome shotgun sequence.
UGUUCCCAAGGAAUAUCAGUUUGGACGCUUUGGCUGUGGAUACCAUCAGAAUUCCACAGUUAAGCGUGCUCAUGUGCGAGUAGUACCAGGAUGGUUGACCUCCUAGGAAAUCUUCACUGGAGCAA